AGGACGAACGCUGGCGGCGUGCUUAACACAUGCAAGUCGAACGGAAAGGCCCGCUUGCGGGUACUCGAGUGGCGAACGGGUGAGUAACACGUGGGCAACCUGCCCUCAGCUCUGGGAUAACUCCGGGAAACCGGUGCUAAUACUGGAUAUCGACUUCUGCUCGCAUGGGUGGUUGUUGAAAGUUUUUCGGCUGGGGAUGGGCCCGCGGCCUAUCAGCUUGUUGGUGGGGUAAUGGCCUACCAAGGCGACGACGGGUAGCCGGCCUGAGAGGGCGACCGGCCAAACUGGGACUGAGACACGGCCCAGACUCCUACGGGAGGCAGCAGUGGGGAAUAUUGCGCAAUGGGCGGAAGCCUGACGCAGCGACGCCGCGUGAGGGAUGACGGCCUUCGGGUUGUAAACCUCUUUCAGCUCUGACGAAGCGAGAGUGACGGUAGGAGCAGAAGAAGCACCGGCCAACUACGUGCCAGCAGCCGCGGUAA
rnacentral:rRNA from 1 species